UCCCCCAGCACACGAGACCCGAGGUGGCUGGAGAUCAUCCUUACGGAGGCGGGAUCAGCUGCAGUGAAUUGCCCAAGUGCAGUCGGCGUUUCACAACCACCCGCCGUGACCACACGCUUGCUCCAGCGGGUCUGGAGCCCGGCACCUUGGACCGUCUUGAAGGCCUUAAAACAAUGCCAGUGUCCCCGCCCGCCAAGGCCUCCUCAGCGGGGUACCCGCAAGAGUACUUUGAAAAAAACUUAGUCGACCAACCUUUAGAACAUCUGGAUGUGGAGAUGUACACUGAUGGAAGCAGUUUCAUGGUUCAGCUGGGUAACCAAUGGUAACCCUCCAAACGGUGCUGGAAAGUGGGGCUGUCUCACCAGGCACAUUCGCAGGAUGGGUGGAAGUCUUUCCAUGCAGAACAGAAGGGGCCUUGGAAGUAGCCAAGGCUCUCUGAAGGAUAUAAUCCAUGAUUUGGACUUCCAUUUUUGAUACAAAGUGAUACUGGUGGGGCUUUUGCAUCAAAAAUUUCACAGGAGCCGUCAGAAGUUUUAAGUAUCCAUUGGAAAUUACAUGCAUUCUGGAGACUACAAUCCAUAGGAAAAAUGGAGAAGAUGAAUCAUACCUUAAAGAAAACAAUAGCCAAACUCUGCCAAGAAAGCAAUCUUUCAUGGGAUAAAGUACUCUUGGUGGCCUUGAUGCAAGUAAGAGAAGCUCCUAGAAGCAGGCUCCUUUUGAGCCUAUUUGAAAUGGUAUAUGGAAUAUCAUUUCUGAAACAGGAUGGUAUGCAUACUUGGACUAAACAAGUCCAAGAACUAGAGGUUAAAAGGUGUAAUCAGUUGUUAGGAGCCACAUUAGAGAUAACCCAUCAAUAUGCUUCAAGUCAGCUCUCCUUUCCUACAAAUGUGCCCCUACAUCACUUUAAACGUGAUGUCAUGCUUAGUUUCAUGUGUCAACUUGGCCAGGUGAUAGUGUCCAGUUGUCUGGUCAAGUAAGCCCUGGGCUAACCAUUACUGCAAGGACAUUUUGUGCCAUAGAAAUCCAGAAGGCUGUUGUUGCUCAGAUGUGGCCCUCUCUCUCUAGCUAAGCCAACUUGAAAGGUGAAAUCACUGCCCUCCCCACUAUGUGGGAUCAGACACCCAGGGGAGUGAAUCUCC